rnacentral:misc_RNA from 1 species
GGUGGAAGAGCAACACCAAGAAGGAUAACAAGAAAUUUCCUCCUAGAUGCAACAUCAGUGGAAAUCCAGCCGUGAAUUAUCUCUUAUCGUUGAGCGAUAAGCAAUACCGAAUAAAAGAAAAAGGAAAUUGUCCACAAAAUCGUACUUGAGAAUAACGCGACUAUUGCGACCAGCAAGUGGUGCCGCCAUUAACCUACGGCGAGAUACACGAAGUUCGUGAAAGCGUUUGACGUCAGUGUACAAGAACGCUGAUAAUCUUGCGACGCAGAUAUCGCUACGCGAAAUAUCAGCGGAUAUCUGUGGUGGUUUACGGGCGAAAUAAAAUCAUAUGAACGUACAUAGUGGUUUAUGGUUUGAUACACAGCCUCGACGAAUAUUAGCAGGCCCGUAAUGGGUGGGGUCGUGGCUUGGGUCGAGUGAGAGACAUGGAGCGACCUCAGUGUUCUCAGUGGUGAGCUGCACGGCCAUCGCCGACCGUCGGUUUCGCCUAGAGCAACCAACCUACUCUGCUAUGACAUCGUUCUGAAAAUCCCAGAUUAUCGCGGUAAAAGGUUCGAUAUCUCGGAGGAGGACUCGCGUGGGGCGUGUGGAGGUUUAAAAAACGAGGGCCAGAAGCGUCGUACGAAGUCGAACGAAAGCGUGCGGCGAGGUUAACCUCAGCCGUUCGACGACGAGUACGAGCCAGGAAAAGAGAAGAUAGAGAAAACCGGUGAAAGAAAGAGAGAGAGGGAAGGAAGUCGAAAAGGCGUGAAAGAGAUAGAAGGAGCAAGGGUGGAAUAAGCUCGAAAGAGACAGAACAAAAGGGGAGGGAAUGAACGGCCCUGGAAGUCAUCAGCAUCGCGGCUUGGGCAUGCAGGGACGUUACAGGGCCGUAGUUAACGGCGGUACCCCGACGGGGCCCCACUCGCGCCCUCCAGCGCCCCCUCACGCCCGUGGUGGAUGGCACCCCCAUAAUCAACACCCUCAACACGCUCAGAUACCACAGCAAUACACCGGCAACAAGGAAUACCCGUAUCGACAAUGUCCACCGCCACGCUUCCAUAACGGGGACUGUCCCGGAGUUGGUACGUCUUCCGGACCAAACGGUAAGGAAGUUUCGUAUCACGGGAACGUAGGCGGAUCCAGCGUGGGGUAUAAACCGCCCCCGCAGCACAGUCCGCAAUCAAGAGGUCCACCGGCACAUUUUCCACAAGAGUCUGUGGGUCCGCCGGCCAAUUCACCGCCAUUGCAUAUCAACAUCUGCGGCCAAGAGAACGCGAUGCGUGGCCCAUUAUUGAACAUGAGUCCAGGUCUCGGAGCUAGCGGCGUCGACAUGGAGUACCGUAGAACUUCUCAAGCCACGAAUCAGCUACCUCUGAGUCCCGUACAAAUACAGCCGUCGCCGCCGUACUACAGGCAGCCUAGUCAAGACGACGGUCGAAAGAGCGAGUCUCCAUCCAGGAAACGUCGGCGAAUAUCUCGGAACGGUGCCGUGUCCGGAAUCGAAGUUCGAGAGACAACGCCACAAUCACCUACGCCACCGUUGCACACAACUCCGCCGCCAUGGGAAUUCUCCUCGGCGCCCCAAAGACGAUCACCUCGCAAUCACAUGUCCACCCGCGGUAGUCCCACCAUACGAAAUCGUUACCAACGAUAUCCCGACUCGUUUGGACUCUCUUACCCCUUCAUACCCGGCCACAAUCCACAUCCCACCAUCCACAAUUCCCACCAUGGGAUUCACGGAUCUCAUCACAGUAUCCACAACUCGCAUCAUAACCUGCAUAGUUCCCACCAUAACAUGCAUAACGCGCAUCAGACGCAUCCCCAUCAUCCACCAGGCACAGGGCACCACCCUGCCCAAGGAGCGAACGGCCCCGUGGUCGUUGACGUUGGACAAGUCGGUGUUUCCGGUUUAGGGGUUGCCGUCAGCGGAGAACCCCUCUGGCAUCCUCAGGCGACAGGUUACAGAAUUCCUUGUCAGCUGCACGGUAUAUACACACCGACUGGAGCACACGCGUUUGCGCACUCGUGUCAGGUUACCCAUCACCAUAGUCACUACUCACCGGCUCAUCCGACCCACCCAGGCCACAGCCUAGUCGGUUCGAUAGUUGGCGCAGCGUCCAGAGGAUACCCAACGCCAACCGGAGGUGCUGUGGCGGCUCUUCAUCAUGCUCACGCACCUCCACCACCCGUCCAUACUGCUCAUUAUACUGCGCAUCAUCAACUCUCACAACAGCGAGAAGUUGAACUAGAGUUAAUAGAAUCCCAUCAUCAUCACCGAGUAGGAGCCACAGCCGGUGCCCCAUUACCAUUGCCGCACUCGUAUUCACCGCCAGCUCUCACUCAAGUCACCACUCCGACUCCUACACCCAUAUUCCUGUCAGAAACGAGAAACAGUCAAUUGGAAAUGAUUCAGACGAGAACUCGGCGUUCAGGACCGAACGUUCACGCGCUCAGACGAUCAAGGUCGAGUAGAUGGAGAGCUACACCUCCGAUACCACCGACGACCUAUCCACAGUUCUUACUACACUUCUUGGCGAUGUUCAGCAACCCACCAUUAUCGCCGUACAGUCAAGCGGAGCUGUCCUCGCCGGAUUCAGCGACCGAGAAUUACGAGGCUCUGCUGUCGUUGGCCGAGAGACUAGGAGAGGCUAAGCCACGAGGAUUGACCCGAGCCGAAGUCGAACAGCUGCCCUCGUACAAAUUUAACGCGGAAACGCACCAGGGAGACCAAACUAACUGUGUCGUGUGCAUGUGCGACUUCGAGGCUCUGCAGUCGUUGCGCGUCCUACCGUGCUCGCACGAAUUCCACUCGAAAUGCAUCGACAAAUGGCUCAAAUCGAACCGAACGUGUCCAAUUUGCCGUGGCGACGCCGGAGAAUAUUUCGGGAACGCCGGUACGGGUAGCGACUGACGCCAAGCUGCUCAAGUGCACUAGCGCCGACUGUCAAGAAUCUCAGGGACGCUACUUCGCACAGAGCUACCAGCGAUCAGGUUGCUGGUUUGUGCAAAUUUCUGUUGACAAGCAUUUCUCUCGCCUUCGCCGAGAACAUGGCGGUUACGUCGCUUGGUUCUCCGACAACGGCACAACCGAAUUGUCGUUAUCCUUCAACCGGAGAGAAUCGUGAAACUGAACAACUACGGUAAAAAAAAAUCGAAAAAAAAAAAAGAAUAAAUUCAGGGUAUGAUCGUGUGUCUCGGUUGUUGAGAACAAAAAGGACCACACGCAAUAAAGAAGAGUCGAACGGAAGAGAGAGAAAGUGUGUGUGCGUGUAUAGAAAUGUUGUAAUAAGCAAUCAACCGGGGUUAUGACAAACGAGAAGAAGAGGAAGACUAAGAAGAGGAUAUUAAAAGCUAUCAAGCAUUUGAACGUCAGGAUAGAAAAUCCGACGGUUGUUUUUUCUUUUUGUUUCAACUAGCGCUUCGAUAAUUACGUAUUUAACGCUCGUUUGUUGUUUUGUGUUGCUAUUUUAGGGUAUAUCGUGUACAUAAGUACUUGUAAUAAUGCAACUAUUGCCACUUUCCAUUAACGUUCCAAUUUUUAUUAUUAUUAUAGUUGUCUUUUUAAUCCUACGAAUUGUAAAUACUUGUGUAAACGCUCCUAUUAUACGAACUCGCGCGAACACGUAUCUGCGCGUGUGGAUACGAACGAUUGUAGGUAAUUUGUUUCUUUUGUUGGGGAGGAAGGGGGCACUUAACCAAAUGUAGUACAUAAAUUCUUUUCCUUCUUUUCUUUUUUUGUAACAAACAAUACGAGACGUGUCACUGUAAGAGAAGAAACACAACCUCCUAAUAAGUAUAAGCUUUUUGUGUCUUUGUAUAGGGUAUUUUGUUAUUGUGAACGGUUUUUUCUAUAGCUGCAGAAAUAAUUAUCGACAGAAAAAAUAAUCAUUUUCCAUAGGAUUUGUUUAACAGUUUCUCUCGCGGUCAACCAUUUUCUUUCGAUUUAAACUAUCGUAGGGAAUAAUAGACUACGAGAAAGUACGAAAACCGUGAGAGAUGGAUUAGAAGAAAAAAAACGUGAAAAAGAAGUCAGUCUAUUCAGCAAUAGUUUACUAUACGCAAAAGCUACUACGUGAAGAAUAAAGAUAAAAAAAAGAAAGAAAAAGAGAGAAUGAUAAGAAUACCGCUUCUGUUUCCUGCGUAUCUACCUCUAAUAGAUGAAAUGAAAACGAUUCAUAUUUUUUUAUACACACAUCUCAUAAACAAUAAACGUACGUACGCUAAGAAAACCAAAAAAAAGAGAGAAAGAGCGCGCGCGCGAGAGAGAGAAAGAGAAAAAAUAGAAGAAAACCGAUGACGAUGGAUUAGGAAAAUCGAGAUAACCGCGAACUUCGAAAUUUUCAAUAUUAAAUGUUAAGAUUCGUCGAAGUGUUUAGAACCUGCAGAGAAUCCAUAUUGAUUUCAACUCUUUCGUAUUUCACGGCUGGACACCACGUGGACAGACACGAUUUUUCCCGAUCUUUCGACCAUCAAGAGAAAAAUCCAAUGGAGUCGUUUUUGGUCUUAGAAAGUGUAGAUUCUCCUUGCGUGUUUAGUUUUAAAUUAUCUUCGAUGACCUAGGAAAAAUUGAACUCGUUAUUUUCUUUAGGGAUGCUAUUCUUUUUCUAAAUUCAAUUUUCAGGGAAGCUUUUCUGUAGAAAUUUAAAAGACCUUCUCGCACAAGGCUUUUCAAGACAUAAAGCUUUCGAAGAGAACUUAAAUACUUUCAUGGAUUUUUCCAUUUGACGCGUUGAAUACCGAACGCCGUUCAAAGUAAUUACCGAUUAUCAAAAAUUAUUUAGUAUAUAAUUUACUUAGACUUUAUUUUUCACUUAAAGACAUAUCAGAAUGCAAUUAUAAUUAGAUUAAGCAUAAAAAAUAAAUGAAACAAAUUAUAUUUAGUUUCGGAAAAAAAUUUAUUUCGUAAUGUUAGAUUUAUUUAAUCGGCGAUCCUCGCGGCGUUCAACGUGUUAACAGUAGACUCUUAUAUUUCCGGGACUCCCAUAAAUCUCGGGGGUGCCAUUAGCGGCAAUAUAACGAGAAUCGACUGUAAUUAGAACGAAAACAUCAUGUCUCUCGCAACGGUGAAAGAUAAAUAUCGAACAUCAAAUGUAAUGGGUUCUUGAACUGUCUCCUUCCAUUUCUUAUCGCGUGCCUUUACUGUACUUGACCGGGUAUCGGGAAACGAUGAGAGUUCAUGGGGAAAAGAGUCGGAGAAAAAGAUAUAAACGAUGAAAAACUGAUAUGACCUGCGAAUCUUGCGUGUUCGUAUUUAAAGGAAACAUUGACUAUCGUACGUUCACGCGAGCAAUCACAGAAGAUUAUGUACAUUUGGAGCACGAAAACAAAACCAGAGUCACGUUUAUCAGACCACCAUUGGCAGAGGAUGUUACUUUAGUUCUUUAGAAAUUCAUUCUUCGCAAGUUUCUAAAUUUCAAAGUUUUUCAAGUUUCUAAAUUUGAAGAUGGUCGUCGUUUGCCAAUGUGGUCGUAGACGAGGCUGCAGCAUUACCACUGUGUCCACCAGCUAGAUCCUUACGAACAGGACCAACGAGCUUUAUUUUACAUAGCAUUCUAAAAAUUGAAUGUAAUUCAGAUACUUCUCGGUCGAUACUUGAAACGAUACUCUACGUAGAACAUCUUCAUCAUAGAAGACUUCUCUCCUGUACGCAUAUACAUCUGUUUCAUCUAGAAGCACUCGAAUAUUUCUCUAUUUGUCCUCAUAAGUGGUCACACAAAAAUUUGUUAAUAGAAUGGCACAUUUUUUUACGUCGAUUUUCGGAAGAAUCAAUGUAAUGAAAAAUAUACCAUCUUUAACAUGAUCGCAAAACUUUUCAAGAUUGAGUUAAUGUCUUGAUUUUGUCGAGAUGUUUGAGGGUUUCUAAAUUGAACGGUGUAUAAUACAAACAGUUCUAAGUUCUACUUAGAGUGUCUCGAAUCCAGUAAGUUUCUAGCAGAGCGUUAUAUUCGUAAGUGAAACGUCCGUGCAACCGUAUAUACGUAAAACAUGUACUUUUUAGUAGUUUUGUACGGGUCUAUGCGUUUAUGAUCGGUGACUGUCGAAACUUUAUUGUUUGAUCGAGACUAAUUGACAAAGUCUUACAAGAAGCGUUGUGACUACAGAAACAUCCGCCAUUUUCAUGUCCUGGAUCACGCUGAAGUUCCUGAAACAUCCUGUACAUCUCUCCGCUCUCAAAGUAUAUAAAAAGUGAACAUUAACUUUGGUCAAAAUGUAUCGAUCAAAUAAUAAAGCGAGAACAACGCGAGCAAGCACAAAUCAAAAGUUGAUUUUCGUUGUUUUUUCGUUUCGAUCAUCGAACGUGAAACAAUAUAUCAAAAGCUCGUGUAUGUGUGGGUGUACAUGUGUGUGCGUGUGUAUAAGUGCGUUGGUUUUUCUUAGAUGCGUUUUAACAGGAACACAUAUCACUUAAUCUCCAUCGUAAUCCACGCGUCUCGCACGCUCGCCCUUUUUGUCGCGUUUAGACCCGGCCAGAGAAAGGAUAAAAGGGAAGGCUCAUUUUUUUACUAGCUUAAGUCCGCGGAGGAGAGAAAGAGACACGGAAUGUGUGAGUACGUAUGAAUUUGUCAAAAGGGACGAGCGUUCGAUCGGAAGGAGCUAAACGCCGAAGAAGAUCCACAUCUCGUACACCGGUGUCCAGUGAACUUACACGAUCGCGGAGCUUUCGACAAUUCUAGAUUGCUUCUUUCGUUGUAUAAAAUAAUCGUCAUCGUAGUUUCAAUCUUCCGUAGUCGCGAAUUUGGAAUCUCUUUCUCUUCCACGUUUCUGUGAUAAAUAUAAGAUUGUCUUUGAACAAGCAAUUUCAUUGAUCCUUUGCAGUUUAGGUUGAUAGGACACCCUUUCGACAAAAUAAUCUUUAAAAUUCUUUUCAUAUAAAAUGGCUGACCAGUUCACUCUUAUUCUAAAGUUGACACUAUUCUCCACAAGCGAAGCACACAGUAAAAAAAUGUCAGGUAUCUUUCUUUGUAAAAAUCGAUGUUUUAGGCUGCAAAGGAUUAACACGCUUAAAAGGAUUAAUCGUAGAAACACGAUUUUCCCACCAGCUAAGAAUUUUUUCCUCCGACGGAGACUGUCGAUUUUCGGCUAGAGGUAACUUUUGACCCCCCGUCCAACGCUCCGUCCCUUGAUACGCUUAGAUUAAGCUAGGCAUAAUGUAUCCCUUAAAACGCGUACCUUAAGCACACCCUGAAGCCUAGUGUACCAGUCGCAGCAGAUAAAAGAUCGGUGCCUGGAACGUCCCAGGUACGAAAUCAAAAUUUAACGCGUUCGUGAACUAUGUAGACAUUUGAUUACGUUAGAUGUGUGCUAAAAUUUGUCUGAUUUGAUGAAAUGGUCAUUAACGCGUUAACCGCCUAACAUGAAAACACGAAACACUUCCUGGUUCGAAAAGAUACGCCUGAUACGUUCGAGGUACCGAUGCAAACCAAGUACCAAAAGAUUAAAUUGUUCCGAUGUGUAUGAGGUUGUAGCCGUAAAGAUAAUUUGUACAUAAUGGAAAAGAGAAAAUAGUGUACAACACGAACGAAAAAGGGAAGAAAGGAAACAGAGCCAUACGCGUUAUUUUAAUGAGCCGCGAAGCGGAACAGACGACAGAAAAGAAAAAAGUGGGUUUGAUUCUCGAUUACUUUAGAGAGAAGGUGGUUGCCCCCGUGGUUCUGAUGCCGGCUGCGCGUUAAACUGAUUGAAGAGCUUUUUAAAAAGAAACCUUUAUGAUAAAACAGUAAUAUUUGGCUUAUUUCUUAAUUGUACCAUCUCUUUAAAACGUAGACCCUUUUGAGCCACCGUUGCUCGCAAAAAUCAGUUUCCCACGCAGCUGGCGAAUCAAAGGACAGAAAAUUAUAUCCAGUGAGCGGAAAUGUCGUUUCCGGCAAAUUGGAGGGGGUUAGCGGAUGAACAGCAAUAAAUCAAACAUUGAGUCCACGUGAAUAGAGUAUAUCGAAGUUUUCGCGCGUUUCAACGUGUACAAUAGUAUAUUAAUUUUGUUGCAAACUUUUGCUAUACGUUUCUCGAUUAUCGUGGCAACCACGAACAGGCACAGCCGUAUUGCUUCACCGCUGAUAGUACAAGCAUGCCAUUAGUUUAUAAUUCGUUGUUCGUUUGACGAGAAAACGCAACAGUAUUUUCUCUAGCGAGUGGUGCUUUCUGAUUGUGCGUUUUGUUUUCGACCGCGCUACGUUUGGCACCGGGGAAAACUUUCCAGACGAGCUGCCAUAUUGGAACAUUUGAAGUUAGGAGGUCUCGGGUGAUUUCGGGGUGUACAGUCAGGUGCAACGUAGGCUCCUCUGUUCGAUGUAGAAGAAGAAACGAUCUUGGGAAAAUCGAUAGAAAGGGCAAGGCAUGAAAUCUAGAGGGAGGGGCCUCACCUAGAAGUAAGGCCUAACCCAAAAAGGGGAUCGAAGGGCUAGGGGAGGCCUAGGAAGAAUCCUUCGUCUACGCUUCCUCGAGAGAAACCUAAAUUGCGCCCGACCAUGACACCUUCAAAAUUUCACUCGAUUACACCCUGUAUUUUCUCACGUUUCUGCAAGUUUUUCAUCAAAAAAUUUCGAUCACUUUUAUCUAAAUCGGUCUUCCUAAUGAACUACCCAAUCGUUGUCGAUAUGCACCUUAGUUAUGCAAUUGAUACAGGGUGUAUAAAAAAUGCCACGAUACAUUAGUGCACGCAACAAUAUGUCGACCUCCUCACCUCCGUACUGUUUCUUUUUCCUUUUGCUGUUAAUGAAAUAUGUAACGUUAGAGGUGGCCGACGCUCUCCUCGGUAGCCAAUGUUCAAUAACGUUUUUUAUAUUCUAUUGUAGUAGAAUUAAUGUCGCUGCUACUGCUGCUACUGAUACCACUAUUUUCGUUAAUAUACCGGAAGUGCGUUAAAUGUUUUUUAUACAAGCUCGAUUUAACGUUUUUUAGUUAUAUUACGAUAUUUAAUUUGUUCGUUAGUUAUUGUUGUUAUUAUUAUUAUUAUUAUUAUUAUUGUAUCAUUACCAUUAUUAUUACGUUAUUAUUAACUUACGAUGAUAUUGGUUCAUUAAGUUUAUCGAUAAAAUAGAUUGUAAAACGCUCUAAUAUGGGGAAUACGUUGUUAACAACCAAAACCUAGAUGAAUUUUCUGUAUACAGUGGAAACGUUUCGGUCAACGAGAAAUAACGUCGAAGCGUUUUCAUGAAAGCGAACCAUUUGUACAGACGCGGAGAUAACGAUGCCAAACAUUAUAUAUUAUUAAUACUGACACUAUUGCUACUAC